AACGUCAAAAAAUAUUAACCGCCCAAUGUUAACUAUUAGCAAAAGCACAGGAUCCUAGGUCAAUUAUUUUAGCUUUCCCGUUGGGACUCACAUCAAACUCAAAUAUAUCCAUUGGAACACCAAUAGUAGUACAGGAAUUUGGUAUAUCAACAAUCCCGGCAACAUGACCUUGAAUAGGUGCACAACUGAGUAAAAGAUACAACUGAUAGUCAUUAUAUCCAAACCUUCUAAAAUAUUCAAUAACACGUAAACAGGUUUGACGAUAGGCUGUCGUAGUACAAAGAUAAUGCUGUUUUCCUGAUUCAUCAACGGAGAAACCCUCAAAAGUCAAAUAUCUACUGGGGCUAAAGUGUGGUUCAACGGGUCCUGGCAAAUACAUAGGGGACUUCAUAGCUAAGUCAGAUAUACCGUUUUUUAAAAUUUUACACUUGAUAGUAAUGGAACCUGCCAUUUCUAUAGCUCCACAAAAAGAAAUUUCGCCAUCACCUUGAGAAAAAUGAAGAUCGCCAAUGGACAACUUAGCACCAGGAACGUGGACCGGAAGAAAAACUUUCGACCCUCUUGAUAAAUUUUUAAUAUCGCAAUUUCCUCCAUUUUCGGGUCUCCCCGGUAUUGUCCUUGCUCCUUCGGAUGCUACCGUUGCACUAAGUUUCUCA